CCUACGGGUGGCUGCAGUAAGGAAUAUUGGUCAAUGGAGGAAACUCUGAACCAGCCAUCCCGCGUGAAGGAUGAAGGGGCUCUGCCUUGUAAACUUCUUUUGUCUGGGGCGAAAAAGCUCGAUUUAUCGAGAACUGACGGUACCAGAAGCAUAAGCACCGGCUAACUCCGUGCCAGCAGCCGCGGUAAUACGGAGGGUGCAGGCGUUAUCCGGAAUCACUGGGUUUUAAGGGUUUUAAGGAGGCUUAGGUGAAAGGCUGUGGCUUAACCAUGGAAUUGCCAUUGAUACUGCAGAGCUUGAAUGAGGUUGAGGUUGGCGGAAUGUGACAUGUAGCGGUGAAAUGCUUAGAUAUGUCAUGGAACACCGAUUGCGAAGGCAGCUGACUGGACCUAUACUGACGCUGAGGCACGAAAGCGUGGGGAGCGAACAGGAUUAGAUACCCUGGUAGUC
rnacentral:rRNA from 1 species